rnacentral:rRNA from 1 species
UAGGCGGACGGGUGAGUAACGCGUGGGUAACCUGCCUCAUACAGGGGAGUAACAGUUAGAAAUGACUGCUAAUACCGCAUAAGACCACAGCACCGCAUGGUGCGGGGGUAAAAACUCCGGUGGUAUGAGAUGGACCCGCGUCUGAUUAGCUAGUUGGUAAGGUAACGGCUUACCAAGGCGACGAUCAGUAGCCGACCUGAGAGGGUGACCGGCCACAUUGGGACUGAGACACGGCCCAA